rnacentral:lncRNA from 1 species
ACGGGCUUGGUGGCAGACUUCAGACAUUCUGUGUAUCUUCUGAUUGUUGCCACUGCUAGUUUCUUGUCACCCACGGUGCUAGCUGUCCUGACUCUGUUCCUUCCUCACUCCACACUGCCCUUCUUUCCCGAAGUUAACAGGAGGAUAGCAGUACUGUUAGGUUGCUUUCAGCUAAAAGUAACAGAAAGUCCUUUCUUUCUUAGCUUCCAGAAUGGGGCUUCAUUAUGGGAAGUCCAGAGGGCUUCAGGAUUUACUCUGUCCAGUGGCUCUAGUUCUGCUGCCCUGUGGGUUCUUUUUGUGAGUUUCAUCUUCAGGUUGGUGGCAAGAAGAUGCUGCAUCUGGUCCCAGGCCUCAGAGCUGAGCUGGACAAUAUCCAAAGAAGAAAGAGAAGUCUUUUCUAGAAGCUUUUUGAGAAGACUGAAAAACUCAGAUGAUUCAAACUCCCAAGGUCAGGUACAGCCUUUGAGCUGGGUUGCAGAUGUGCUCCAUUACUCUCACCUGCUGUCACCCGUUGGAAGAAUUUUCUCUGGAAUCUUCACAUCUACCUGAGAACCUAAGUAACCAGCUUGUAAAAAUAAACCAGAAUGCUUUCCCAGAGCGUCACUCUCAGAUUGCCCAAAUGAAGGUCCACUCUGGUAGUCCCUGCUUUCCUGUUUUCAAAUAUCAAG